ACUCCUACGGGAGGCAGCAGUGGGGAAUAUUGCACAAUGGGCGCAAGCCUGAUGCAGCCAUGCCGCGUGUAUGAAGAAGGCCUUCGGGUUGUAAAGUACUUUCAGCAGUGAGGAAGGCGGGUGUGUUAAUAGCACAUUCGUUUGACGUUAGCUGCAGAAGAAGCACCGGCUAACUCCGUGCCAGCAGCCGCGGUAAUACGGAGGGUGCGAGCGUUAAUCGGAAUUACUGGGCGUAAAGCGCAUGCAGGUGGUUUGUUAAGUCAGAUGUGAAAGCCCGGGGCUCAACCUCGGAAUUGCAUUUGAAACUGGCAGACUAGAGUACUGUAGAGGGGGGUAGAAUUUCAGGUGUAGCGGUGAAAUGCGUAGAGAUCUGAAGGAAUACCGGUGGCGAAGGCGGCCCCCUGGACAGAUACUGACACUCAGAUGCGAAAGCGU
rnacentral:rRNA from 1 species